rfam:Hordeum vulgare subsp. vulgare, WGS project CAJW01000000 data, contig: morex_contig_1565818
AAAAUACUCCCUCCGUUCCAAAAUUCUUGUCUUAGGUUUAUGUACAAAUGAAUGUAUUUAAAUACAAAAACGUGACUAGAUACAUUCAUAUUUAGACAAAUCUAAGACAAAAAUUUUGGGACGGAGGGAGUAGUAC